ACACAUGCAAGUCGUGCGAGAAAGUCCGCUUCGGUGGAUGAGUAGAGCGGCGCACGGGUGAGUAACGCGUGGGUAAUCUCCCCGGAUGACUGGGAUAACAGUGGGAAACCGCUGCUAAUACCGGAUACGCUUCAUGCAUUAUCGUAUGAGGGAAAGGUGGCCUNUGCUUGCAAGCUACCACAUCUGGAUGAGCCCGCGUCCCAUUAGCUUGUUGGUAGGGUAACGGCCUACCAAGGCGACGAUGGGUAGCUGGUCUGAGAGGAUGAUCAGCCACACUGGGACUGAAACACGGCCCAGACUCCUACGGGAGGCAGCAGUGGGGAAUAUUGCGCAAUGGGGGAAACCCUGACGCAGCGACGCCGCGUGUGGGAAGAAGGCCUUCGGGUCGUAAACCACUGUCAAGAGGGAAGAAACGUAUGGACUUGAAUAGGGUC
rnacentral:rRNA from 1 species